ensembl:lncRNA
CAGCCCUCACUGCAGAGCCUGGAUAUUUUGUGAUGUCUGACUAAUGCUGUUAGGAGAGGAUGUAGGAAAGAAGAGAGAUCUCCAAUUGACAGGAAGCAAAGAAUAAAUGAUUGUAAAGGGGCUGGCAGUGCUUGUAGUUUAAAGACAGACACAAUUUAGAUAGCACUGAGAUCUCAUUGCAGGAUGAAGCUUAAUGAGGUCUGUGUGGUCACAGAGGGAUAAAACACUAUGAGAUCAGAUGUGGCCCUGUGUUGUGUGUGAGAGCAAGACCUUUGAGCUGAAUUCACAUUACCUGAGCCAUCACCAGGACUGGAACAUUCAUUGGCGUUUUCAGAAGAUUAUAUACAAAACCACUACAGAGAUAAAAGAAGGAUGCAUUGAAGGUAGAUGGGACUUGAGCUAGUAGGUGACGACAGAAAAUUUGCACUGGAGGACCAAGAUACCAUACUUUUCCAGCCUAGAAAUGGACCAUUACAGAAGGGAAUGCAGAUGAACAUGGCUGAACUCAGUGCUGCAGUUUACAGAAGUAUCUGCUCACAGCACAGAAUGACACAUGGCUUGUCCUACAUCACAGACAACACUAAGCAGUGUAUGGGAACAGUAGACAAGGAAAAGAAUUGUAGAAUCAUUGAAUCGCCAAAGCUGAAAAAGAUCUCCAAGACCAUCCAGUCCAACUUUCCACCUACCACCAGUAUUUCCCACUAAACCAUGUCCAUCAAUACAACAUCCAAAUGUUUCUUGAACACUUCCAGGGACAGUGACCUAACCACCUCCUUGGGCAGCCCAUUUCAGUGCCUAACCACUCCUUUGGAGAAUAAAUUUUUCCUAUUAUCCAACCUGAACCUCCCUUGGCACAAAAGAACAAAUAACAAGUGGUUUGGUUUUUCUGUCACAGGUUGUUGGUGUGGUUAAUAUUCUCUGCUUCAGUACUCUGCAUUUACAACUCUUUUGCAAUGAGGUCACACUGACAAGCCACAAACACUGCUUGUUCCUUUUAAGAAAUAGUGAUUGCUAGACGCAAAUGAAUUCAGGGAUGGCUGAGAGGUGAUCUUGCAAGACUUCAAAAUAUCAAAGUGUGUCAUUCUGAUAUGCCUGAUAAAAGUGUUAUUUAAAUAUCCAUGGAAACCAACCUUCACAUUCAACUCAGGGGCUUUGGUCAUAAAUAAAAUACUGGACUGUGAAGGGAUUUCAAAGAUAUACCUUGUCUUUUUGAUCUCUGCAGUUAAUUCUUUCUCUCAACUUGGUCCUUAGAAAGGCGAUUGAAAGUGCAGCUAAGCUAAACGUUCCGUGGGAGUGCUCUGAUCUGUUUACUGCUUUGAUGUUCUCUGUAGGCUACUGCUUCCUGUGAACCAGGAUUCCAUGGCAAAAUAUAUGUGAUUCUCCAUCUCUUUUUUUAAAAGAUUUAAUAUGCAUUUCUCUCUGCUUGUAUCUAUAUUUGCACAUGACGGGUGAGAAGCAGACACAUGGUCCUUUAUUUCCAGAGAGGUGUUCAAAAAAAGACACCAAAAUCUGUCAGAUAUCUUCAAAGCAAGUUUGGAAUUCUGUGUUACCUUUAUCAGGAUCCUCCCCAAUUUUUUAGUUGUAUAAACAGUAUUUAAGCCUUGAUGACCAUUUAACUAAAUUAAGCAAACAAACAAACAAACAAACACAGAAUUGUUGGUAUUACAUUUGAAUUGAAGGACACAAACAAUGCAUAUUCUUUCUUAGCUGAUUUUGAACCAGAAUAUUUGAACCAGAUUUUGAACCAGAUUAUUUUCCUGCCAGUGGAUAAAAGUUACAGUAUUACUUAGAACAGCCUUUUUAACAUCAUCAUUAUAAAAAUGUUACCUUUAUAACUUGUUUAUCAAUUGACUAUUUUGUAAAACUGCAGUUGGCUUAUCUGAUUGGUAAUGCUAAAAUAUCCUUCCAAUGUUUUAAAUUUUCAACAAAAAUAUCUCGGGAUGGUACGAUUCUAUGUAGUUAUGCAGUGUUUUGAGAAAAUCUUUCUUAUUUGGAUGUUACUGCUUAGCUUCAUAAUUAUACGAAACCUCAUAUCAGUGUUUUCAAAGUAUUUGUCCCCCCCCCUUUUUUUUUUUUUUAAUCUUAAUCAUAACUUUCAGGUUUCUUAGAGGACUGGUUUCAUAAUACAUUCCUAAAUUUUUUGCUCUUUCUUCAAUAUUUUGCUGAUUUGUUUUCAUGUUUUAUAUACCAUCUAUGAUAUACAGGAUAUUAGCUAAUUUCUUGACAAUGUAAAAGGGGUGGUAUCCCUUUCAUUAGCUGUUCUUUUUAUAGAAGACAUGCAGAAGAAAAAAAAAAUUACCACUGAACUGGAAUAACUGAGGUGAAAUUGCUAAUCAGAAACGCUGUUACUUGUAUGUGAGAGUUUCAAAGCACUUUUAAGUGCAAGUUCAUUGAGCCUACUCACACUUUUUGAGGUAAAGAGGUAAUUAAUAUUAUCCCCUUCAUCGCAGGUCUCAGCUUUGAACAGUCCAAGGUCUCUUCUGGGCAGUAAAAUGAAGCAGUAAACAACUCUGUGCUUUCUAACUGAAUGGGAACAAUGCUUUCUUUGAAGAUGUGAUUCUGCUGACCUUAUUAAAAAUACAGUGCAUGAACUACCUUGAAGUCUGGCCAUCUACUAGGGCUUGCUACUUCAGAAGAGGGAUGACUUUCUCUUCUGUGGAGGAAGCUGGGGAGACAUGAAGGUUUAAGGGCUUCGAUGCUGUAUCCGUGCAGCUGAAUGGAUGUGUACAAGAUUCACGCUUCCCUCAGUACAGUGGCUGGGAAGGAACCACUAUCUUCUGGGUCACCAUAAUAUGCUAC